CUCGAGAUGAGAUUUCCCCUGAAAAGAUAAGACCCCUUGAAGAAAACGAGGUAGAUAGGCUCAAGGUGUAAGAGCAGCAAUGUUUUAAGCUAAAGAGUACUAAUAGGUCGAAGACUUGACCAAG
rnacentral:rRNA from 2 species